UAGAGCAGCGGACUGAAAAUCCGCGUGUCGGUGGUUCGAAUCCGCCUCUGGGCACCA
rnacentral:tRNA from 1 species